GCUGAAGAUAUUGGACGCCAGGUACAACUUCUCUUCCAUAUCAAAACAUUCUGUUGGGGAAAAACGUUAGGAAGGAUAGGACUUCAAUGUGAAUUAUUAGGUCUGAUGAUUGCAUUAUUUGUAUAAACCAAAUUGUAUUAGAUUUAUCAAGCACAUUGCUUGGUAUAGAGAUAAUCCAAAGCGCUAUUAAAUGAGAAGAUGCUAGUAUCUGAAUAAAUCAGCCUUGAAAUAAUUGCUUGACUAUUGAUUCUAUAUUUUAAGUGACAUUUGUUAUAUCAAUUAAUACAUGUUAGUUUAUCUGAGACAUUUCAGUUUAUUUAUUUCUUAUUUUUUUUAAUCAUUAAUUUAAACUUCACUGUGCAUGUAUAACGUUUAGAGGGUGCCAUAGGGUUGAGGUUAAAGAGGGUUAACGGUUAAGCUUUAACAUUGUUUGGUUGGUCUGAUCCUAGGGGUUAACAGUAAAGGAGAUUAAUGGUUAACUCUUACAAUGUAUUUUUGUUAACCUCCUCCUCAUUAGGUUAAAGAGGUUAAAGGAGAGGAAAGAGUGGUAAGGAGAAUUUUUUUUUUUAAUUGUAUUAACAUUUAUCACAACUAAAAU
rnacentral:misc_RNA from 1 species